rnacentral:tRNA from 5 species
GCUCCAAUCGUCUAGCACGGUCAAGGACGCCGGCCUUUCAAGCCGGCAACUCGGGUUCAAAUCCCGAUUGGAGCA